GAAAACAAAGCAACGCGUAUAAAAACAAAAACUCUUCAAGAGAUUGUCCCGAUUCUCUGAUUUUCUUUGCGUCUGCUUUCCGUCUCCUCCUCCUUCUUCUUUCUGGUAAGAUCUUCAAUUACCUCUGAUUUAUCGAGGUCAGGUCAGAUCAGAUCAGAUCAGAUCCGCCAAAAGAAGCACAAAAAUUUCAUGUUCUAGGGUUUUGAUUUGAUUGUCAGCGUUUUUUUUUUUGAUUUUACCUUUUUCAUCUUUGUUUGAAUUCCAUAUCUGAAAUCUACGUGUAAUUGUUGUGUUCCUCUCUCUAUUGAUUGACUUUUUAAACUUUGUCUGUAUAUCUAGGGUUUAUUCUUUUUACGAACCCUAAAAAAAAGAAAAAAGAAAGUAAUUGGAUAUUUGUUUUGUGCGUUUUAUUGGAGAUUUUUUUUUCUUUGUCUUGAAUCUUUUUAUUGAGAAGAGUUGUGUGGUUCUUGAUUGGUAUGGCGGCAGGGCGAGUUGAUGUUCGGAGGAGAAUUGAUGUUGAGAAAUUGAAUCGGGGCCAUGUUCAUGCAAAUCCCGUUAAGAAUGGAUAUAAUUAUCCAUCUAAUAAUAAGGAUAAGUUCGAUCUGGGUCCUAGGAGAUGUGGGUUAGACGAUGUUGCCAGGGUUAAAAAUGAUGUGAAACAGAUGUUGGAUGAUGGGGUUCAGCAGCCCCCGGAAAAAAAGAGGAAGUUUUCCCCGAUUGUAUGGGACCUGGAAGACAAAGAAGGAAGAUUUUCAUCCAAGAACAGGGAUGUUGUGACGACUAGCAUUCUGUCAUCUCCUUCUUCACCUUCCAAAGUGUCAAAUACUGUUUCCAAUCAGGUUUAUAAGCAUCAACCGUUCUCUGCAAACGUGAUCAAAGAAGUGGAGCAUAUGGUAUCCAAGUCUUUGGUGUCUGAUUUUGGUGCUGCUUUAUCUCCUUCACUGCCUGACCAGCAAUGCCUGGAUGAUGAACAAGAACCAGAGUUGAUUGGAAAAGAAAAUGUUCGAGCACCCAACAUAUUUACAUCACGUUGGGCUUCUGAUAGUGAUGAUGAAGAUGGAUCUCUAACGGAGGAUAAGAUUAGUAGGAGUUCGAGUCUUGAGAGUGGAGAGCUUGAAAGAGAGGAGUUGGAAGUAGAUAGGGCACAGUCUGAUCAAAGAAGCAGCAGUGUACUGUCUGCUUGUGAGGAUGGAGGCAUGGAGUGUAAGUUGGACUCUGGUGAUGUGAUGGACAUUGAUGACAUGCGUGACGAAGAUGCUGUUGUUGAUCAGUCAGAUUUAGGUGUUGAAGAGCCAGCAGGAGGUUGUAUGAACAUGCUUCAUGGUUGCAGAAGUGUUUUUGAGUAUGAAAAAUUGAACAAAAUAAGUGAAGGUACAUAUGGUAUUGUUUACCGAGCUAAGGAUAAGAUGACAGGAGAAAUUGUGGCACUGAAGAAGGUGAAGAUUCUUGAUCGAAGAGAUUUAGAAGAAUAUGGUUUCCCUGUGACAUCACUGAGAGAAAUUAAUAUUCUUGCGUCUUUUCAUCACCCUUCAAUUGUGAAAGCUAGAGAAGUUGUUGUAGAUGACCAUGACAAUGUUUACAUGGUUAUGGAGUACAUGGAACAUGACCUCAAGUGGCUAAUGGACUCGAUGAAACGACGAUUCAGUACCAGUGAUGUUAAAUGUUUGAUUCUACAGCUACUGGAGGGUGUGAAAUAUCUUCAUGAUAAUUGGGUACUUCAUAGGGAUUUGAAAACAUCCAAUCUUCUCUUGAACAAUCAAGGUGAACUCAAAAUAUGUGACUUUGGUAUGGCGCGACAGUAUGGGAGCCCUCUUAAGCCUUACACAACCAAGGUGGUGACUCAGUGGUAUAGGGCUCCUGAACUUUUACUUGGAGCAAAGAAGUAUUCAACAGCCGUGGACAUGUGGUCUGUGGGAUGUAUAAUGGCUGAAUUGUUAGCUAAGGAACCCCUGUUCAAAGGGACAAGUGAAAUUGAUCAGCUUCGCAAGAUAUUUGAUACUCUUGGUGUUCCAAGUGAGAAGAUUUGGCCUGGGUUUUCUGAAUUACCAGGUUCCAAAGCAAAUUAUUCUAAGCAACCGUAUAACUUGUUGCGCAAGAAGUUUCCUGCAGCAUCUUUUACUGGAUCUGCCGUUCUUUCUGAUGCUGGAUUUGACCUGUUGAACAGGCUUCUUACCUAUGACCCUGAGAAAAGAAUAACAGCAGAUGAUGCUCUUAAUCAUGAUUGGUUCCGGGAGCUUCCCCUGCCAAAAUCUAAAGAUUUCUUGCCUACUUUCCCACCAAAAGUGUGAAUGGAACAAUUUCCUUGCCUGAUUUGUGGAAGCUGGACACAACCAAAAUAUUAUCACCGCAUUCUUCCUAGCAAUUGUAGUGGUCAUGAAGGAUCCCAGUUUGAUGCAGCAGUGGUAAAAAACUUCAUCUAUUUUGUGUCAUGAUACAGGCAAGCUGGUUCAUUCAGCCACUCUGAUAUCUUUCAUGAUAAUUGUUUUAGUAGAUAUUGACAAAAAUGUGAGAUGCUGUAGUUGCAUGUUUCAUAGCAAAUUAAUGAGUGGGAGAAACUGAUAUAGUCUUUUGACAGGCACAUGUAGCCUUACAUGGUCCGGUUAUUAGUUGGGAUAAUUUUCAGAUGAGUUGUAAAGGUCAUCAGCUGCGACCUUACCUUGAAUCUUUAAUUUUCAUCUCCUUGAUACUUUAUCAGAAUGUAACCCAUAGUCCACCGACAUUUGGAAGCGUGUACAACAUCUUUGUUUCCUGUUAGUAAGUUUUGGACGCUCAAGGUUCUUUGUGAAUAAAGUAGUUGAUCUUUCAAUUUGUGAGGUCUCCAUUUGUUUCGUUGUUUCCUCUCUGUUUUGUUCUUUGUUUGCAAGUGUUGCAGCACAGCUAAAGGACUUCAGAGUCUGCAAGUGCUUUCGUUAUCAUGUAGCGUGCAAGUAAGGCAUCAACCCCAUAUAGAGUAACUCGGUGCAUUAUCGACUAAUUCCCUAACAAUAACCAGUUAUCAAUUUAUAUGUUAUCGUAUAUUGUGACAUUGACGCACAGGAUGAAGUUUUAUGAUUAGCAUGCAGAUGUUACUGGAGAAAAGAUAAUAGAACCACCGACUAUUUGCUGAGGCUUCUUGUUCUUUCGCCCUGUCUUCUAUUUUUUUUAUUUCUCGGUUCUUCCAUGAAUGUGGUUCUUACAGUUUACCUUGUUGGGUUUCUGCAAGAUACACUUUAACUGAUUACAAGCGCAUAUCUCAAUACCGAACUUAGGAGAUGGCUCAAAACGGUUGGUAUUUAGAAAUAUAAGAUUAUAGCUGUUGUCAUGCAUGGUUUAAAACAAUGCCUCUUCUCAUCCACUUCUUAAUGCUAGUAUAUCGAAAAUUGUCUUAUUUUAAUGUCAUAUGAUCGUUAUUUUUUUUCUUCCUAUUUUCUCUCCUAAAAGAAAACAGUGAAGGCUCUACGGACAAUGUGUUCUAAAUACUCAAAUAAUUUCAAUGCUGCAUCAAUCUUCCAUACGUGAACCGUGCUUCGUCCAACUUAUGUUGCUGGGGGGUGUUUUGGUUCUCCUUUGGGAUGAACGAAACGUCAAAGGAAGGAAGCAACCGCAAAGAACUGUAUGAUUUUGAUGGAUGCCAUGAAUGUCGAAGGAAUGACAGUUGAUGUAAUACAUACAAUUUUGAAGGUAUGGCAAUCUGGUUCGUCGAGGUUUUUUCUUCUGAACUAUGGGUUGUUGGUGCUAACGAGUGCGGUCCUGGAAUUUUCCUCUUCUGAAAAGAAAAUGUUUGUUAUUUCAAACCAGCAUAAGCCUUGUUUUCAAAAUUAACGUUAUCUUGGAAUGGAUUUUUAUAAUCUGCCUUGCCUCUA